CAAUAGCGUAUAUCAAAGUUGUUGCAGUUGAAAAGCUCGUAGUUGGUGUUGUUGUUUGGGGUGUUUGGUGGGUUUUUUACUCGCCGCUUCUUCCAGACAAUUGUAGAUACAGCUUACGCUGUGUCUUCCAUUACUGUGACAAAAUUAGAGUGUUUCAAGCGGGCGCUUUGCCCUCAUACUAAAGCAUGGAAUAAUACCAUAUGAUCGCUAUGCGAUUCUUUGAAUUGGUUGCGAAUAGCGAUAAUGAGUAAGAGGGCCAGUUGGGGGUAUUUAAAUUUCGUCGUCAGAGGUGAAAUUCUUGGAUCGACGAAAGAUAAUCAACUGCGAAAGCAUCUACCAAGGAUGGUUUCAUUAA
rnacentral:rRNA from 1 species